rnacentral:rRNA from 1 species
UACGUAGGGACCAAGCGUUGUUCGGAUUUACUGGGCGUAAAGGGCGCGUAGGCGGCAUAUUAAGUCAGCUGUGAAAUCUCCGAGCUUAACUCGGAACUGUCAGCUGAUACUGAUGUGCUAGAGUGCAGAAGGGGCAAUCGGAAUUCUUGGUGUAGCGGUGAAAUGCGUAGAUAUCAAGAGGAACACCUGAGGUGAAGACGGGUUGCUGGGCUGACACUGACGCUGAUAGCGCGAAAGCCAGGGGAGCAAACGGG